rnacentral:rRNA from 1 species
UACAGAGGGGGCAAGCGUUGUUCGGAAUUACUGGGCGUAAAGGGCGCGUAGGCGGCCUGUUAAGUCGAACGUGAAAUCCCCGGGCUCAACCCGGGAACUGCGUCCGAUACUGGCAGGCUUGAAUCCGGGAGAGGGAUGUGGAAUUCCAGGUGUAGCGGUGAAAUGCGUAGAUAUCGGGAGGAACACCGGUGGCGAAGGCGGCCCCCUGGUUGGAUACUGACGCUGAGACGCGAAAGCGUGGGGAGCAAACAGG